GCGUGGAUGGUGUAGACAAGGCUUUAAGCAGUGGUAUCGGGCAUGUUUGUGGUGUCAUGACAUUGUACUCUAUGAGUCCAUAUUGGACUGUAUCAGUUAGCACUAUUAUAAAUUUUAAAAAUAAGUGGAAUUAAGAAUGAUCCAAAAUUCAUAUUUUUGUUUGUAUUUAACUAAAUAGAAAAAUAGAUGCAAGAUUUAAAGUAAAGAGUAAAUUGCUAAAAAGCCCUUGAGGAAACUUUCAUCACUAUUGUUUCAAAAUUAGUUAAGUUUUUGUACUACUUUUAGUUCUUAAUAAGGUGAAUAAUCUUUUUUCAAAAAUGAAGAACUUAUGACAUAUUAAUCUUUAGGUUGGUGUGCCCAGUUUAUCAAGCCGACCCCAAAUUUUUGGG
rnacentral:misc_RNA from 1 species